rnacentral:rRNA from 1 species
ACGCUGGCGGCGUGCCUAAUACAUGCAAGUAGAACGCUGAAGAGAGGAGCUUGCUCUUCUUGGAUGAGUUGCGAACGGGUGAGUAACGCGUAGGUAACCUGCCUUGUAGCGGGGGAUAACUAUUGGAAACGAUAGCUAAUACCGCAUAACAAUGGAUGACACAUGUCAUUUAUUCGAAAGGGGCAAUUGCUCCACUACAAGAUGGACCUGCGUUGUAUUAGCUAGUAGGUGAGGUAACGGCUCACCUAGGCGACGAUACAUAGCCGACCUGAGAGGGUGAUCGGCCACACUGGGACUGAGACACGGCCCAGACUCCUACGGGAGGCAGCAGUAGGGAAUCUUCGGCAAUGGGGGCAACCCUGACCGAGCAACGCCGCGUGAGUGAAGAAGGUUUUCGGAUCGUAAAGCUCUGUUGUAAGUCAAGAACGAGUGUGAGAGUGGAAAGUUCACACUGUGACGGUAGCUUACCAGAAAGGGACGGCUAACUACGUGCCAGCAGCCGCGGUAAUACGUAGGUCCCGAGCGUUGUCCGGAUUUAUUGGGCGUAAAGCGAGCGCAGGCGGUUUGAUAAGUCUGAAGUUAAAGGCUGUGGCUCAACCAUAGUUCGCUUUGGAAACUGUCAAACUUGAGUGCAGAAGGGGAGAGUGGAAUUCCAUGUGUAGCGGUGAAAUGCGUAGAUAUAUGGAGGAACACCGGUGGCGAAAGCGGCUCUCUGGUCUGUAACUGACGCUGAGGCUCGAAAGCGUGGGGAGCGAACAGGAUUAGAUACCCUGGUAGUCCACGCCGUAAACGAUGAGUGCUAGGUGUUGGAUCCUUUCCGGGAUUCAGUGCCGCAGCUAACGCAUUAAGCACUCCGCCUGGGGAGUACGACCGCAAGGUUGAAACUCAAAGGAAUUGACGGGGGCCCGCACAAGCGGUGGAGCAU